CCUUAUUCAGUAGAGUCGUGAUG
rnacentral:miRNA from 10 species